GCGGCAGUUCAGGAGUGGAGGGGUGAAGGAUGGGGGGCGGCACGAACAAGCGAAUAUGAGGAUAAAUAAGGAAGAAAGGAGGGGACGAGAUGGCCUGAAGGCUGGGGUGCAGAGGGUGACAUGGGAAUGGGUGAGCAGGGGUGACAAUGGAGAAGCAAAGGGCAGAGGGCGCAGGCCUCACUGGCUUUGAAAGGGCCACAGGCUGCAUUUGUCCCCCAGAUUGCACCGGCGGCCCCUGGGGGGUCGCUGCAAAGGUCAUGGGAAGGGAUGUCGACAGCAUCCCACCGUGUUGAACCUUGAGAUCGGAGUUUGGGGCUGAUGUCUGUGCCCCGCUUUUGCAGACAGGGGUUGAUGGCUGCCAGCCUGCUGUGACCCUCCCGUGCUGGGCGGCCCCAGAAAUGCCCUUUGCCCCCCAGGAAGUCCAGCAUGCCCCAAAUCUGCCCAGUGAAAAUGCAUCUCCUUUUGCUUUGAGCCUCUAAGAUUCUUUUAAAAGAAAGAAGCCUCUCAACAACCCCACUUCCAAUCACUGAAGGGCAGGUGGGGGCCACUGGGGGGAGAGACCCAGUACUCGCUCUCGAGGCCAGCUGGGUGAAGGCCUGCCCACAGGAGAGCUAUGAAGUGGCCUUGGGCAAGCUCUUCCAUCGUGGGGCCUCAGGUUCCCCGCCUGUAAAAGGGAAGGGGUUCGGCCGGAUCCUGUUUUGUAGCAGAGCGGAGCCAAGAUCCUGGGUGAUGACCACAGGUAAUUGGUUUGAUGCCUAGAGAGGAGCCGAGUUGUACAACCUUUGUCCCCGUGCACAGGAACCGUCCUGCCUUUGAGGUGUGCAGGCUGGCCUGCCGGCGAUCUAAGCCAGGCCACCGGCUCCGGAUGAAAGGGCCGGUGAGAAUAGCCCGGGCUGGGUUUGUGGACGCUCUCACUUCUGUUUGCUACCGAACAAACAGCACACAGCAGGCAGGCAAUGCCAGGGACGCACACAGAGCAGGCUCCAGGGCGCGAGCACGGGGCCCUGGGCAUCUUUACUUUCGAAGUGUGCCCGAAGUUCAGAACUCAACAAAUCCUGCCCGAAGCGGGGAAUCUGGCAGGUCAGAAGGCCCAGAGCUGCAGGUCUGCUGCCUUUUCUGUAAACCUUGUAUUGAAGUAUCAUAUGCUUACAGAGCAGGUCAUGAAUACCAAGUGUCCAUUCUGAUGGAAUUUCACAAAGCGUGAACACACCUGCGUGGCCAGCACUGCGAUCAAGAAAUAGAACAUGCCCGGCAUCCCGGAGACCUCGGUUCUCCUUUGUGUCUGGCUUCUUUUCUCUGCUCCUCAUUGUUGCGGAGUGUUCCGUUGUAUGGCCCUGACUGUCCCACCUCAGGCUGGCACUGGCACCCAGGGGUCUCCCCGUCACCUGCGAGGCAAUUCUUGCUGCCCUGCCGUUACAUUCUUCUGCAUUCUACCUCUUCCUGUGCCACCACCUUCAUCGUAGCCUGAGCACGAUCUAUCACAGGCAGCAAAACCGUGAGAGCAAGGAGGCGGAGGCCAGAGCCCUGAGUCGGCCCUGCUAAAAGCCACACCAGCACUGCUUGUGGGAGGCGGGGGUGACGUGGAGGGGUGGGGGAGAGCACGGUGCCGGAACAGGCCGGCCUGGGCUCCUCUGCCACCACGAAGGUGGGUGGCCAGGGCCCCUCAGUGUCACUGUGAUUAUUAUGCAGGGGGUGAUGUCACUGGGAUGUCAGAUUUCUGGCCACCUGGCAAAGGUAGGAGAGGAUGAGUUGACAGGAGGGCCGCACAGGCUACUGUGGCCCCAAGUGUGCCGAUGGCUGCAGGGACAGAGAGGCAAUCGGAUGGUUAGGACUGGUGCACGGACAGGAUGGGAAGGCAAAGAGAAGGAGUAAGAAGGGGAGUUGCCAAGGUGCAGCUAUCUGCAGAAAGUGGGGAGUCCUGCAUGGGGGCCUUCAGAACAGGGUCCCCCCACUCCUUCCCUGGAGCCCCUCCUUGUCAGGCACAGUACACGCCCACAGGCGGCGUUGAUGAAGACAGGUCUGAAUUCCCAGGACAGGACCUCUAGAUGGAAGGAGACAAUGUCCCUCCCACCUGCCCACCUGAUGGGGCCUCAUGUGACCCCUAGGUCCUACAAGCUGUCGGGCUGCUGCAGGGUCUUGGCUGUUGCUCUGUAGGGCCUCGGGAAGGAGGCAGGGUUGAGUCCAUUAGCUCGGUGCUGUUCUCUGGAGAGCGUGCAGGGGGAUUAUGGGCUGCUUUGCCGCCUCCCGACUUUCGGGGACCACCCCUUUGGGACUGGAUCCAAGGAAGUGAGCGAUACCAUUAUUAGACGUGAUGCACACGGGACCCUGUGCACUUGUGGCCCUCUCCUCCCUCGGGAUGUGUGAGAUCUGGGAGCCUGUGCAGGUGUUGGAUGAAUGGGACACCUGGCUUCUUGGACACCCCUGGGGCACGAAAACACUGUAAAGCCUCCUGAGGCCUCAUCUGCCUGGAAAUAAUCCUGCAGCUCAAAUUUUCCAGAACCCUGCCUCUUCCCCAGCCACAGAGCCCAGGCAUUUUGCUUCCUGAUCCCACAAAUAUACUUGGGAGUUUCA